GACGAACGCUGGCGGCGCGCUUAACACAUGCAAGUCGAGCGAGAACCAGGGCUUCGGCCCUGGGGACAGCGGCGAACGGGUGAGUAACACGUGGAUAACCUGCCCUCGGCACCGGGAUAGCCCGGGGAAACUCGGAUUAAUACCGGAUGGCCCUUCCGGCCCUCGAGCCGGUCGGAAAAGGUAGCUUCGGCCUCCGGCCGAGGAUGGGUCCGCGGCGGAUUAGCUUGUUGGGGGGGUAACGGCCUACCAAGGCUCCGAUCCGUAGCUGGUCUGAGAGGACGAUCAGCCACACUGGGACUGAGACACGGCCCAGACUCCUACGGGAGGCAGCAGUGGGGAAUCUUGCGCAAUGGGCGAAAGCCUGACGCAGCGACGCCGCGUGAGGGAGGAAGGCCUUCGGGUUGUAAACCUCUUUCAGGAGGGACGAAGCUACUCGGGUGAAUAGCCCAGAGGGUGACGGUACCUCCAGAAGAAGCCCCGGCUAACUACGUGCCAGCCGCCGCAGUAA
rnacentral:rRNA from 1 species